rnacentral:rRNA from 1 species
UCUUAUGGCCAUACCACUCUAAACAUGCCUGAUAUCACCUGAUCUUGGAAGAUAAGCAGGGUUGGCCCUAGUUAGUUUUUGGAUGGGAGAAGAG